rnacentral:rRNA from 1 species
UACGAAGGGGGCUAGCGUUGUUCGGAAUUACUGGGCGUAAAGCGUGCGCAGGCGGUCAUCCAAGUCAGUGGUGAAAGCCCGGAGCUCAACUCCGGAAUUGCCAUUGAAACUGUUUGGCUCGAGUACGAGAGAGGUGAGUGGAAUUCCCAGUGUAGAGGUGAAAUUCGUAGAUAUUGGGAAGAACACCGGUGGCGAAGGCGGCUCACUGGCUCGUAACUGACGCUCAUGCACGACAGCGUGGGGAUCAAACAGG